rnacentral:rRNA from 1 species
GCAGUCGAGCGAGCUUGCCUAGAUGAUUUUAGUGCUUGCACUAAAUGAAACUAGAUACAAGCGAGCGGCGGACGGGUGAGUAACACGUGGGUAACCUGCCCAAGAGACUGGGAUAACACCUGGAAACAGAUGCUAAUACCGGAUAACAACACUAGACGCAUGUCUAGAGUUUGAAAGAUGGUUCUGCUAUCACUCUUGGAUGGACCUGCGGUGCAUUAGCUAGUUGGUAAGGUAACGGCUUACCAAGGCAAUGAUGCAUAGCCGAGUUGAGAGACUGAUCGGCCACAUUGGGACUGAGACACGGCCCAAACUCCUACGGGAGGCAGCAGUAGGGAAUCUUCCACAAUGGACGAAAGUCUGAUGGAGCAACGCCGCGUGAGUGAAGAAGGGUUUCGGCUCGUAAAGCUCUGUUGGUAGUGAAGAAAGAUAGAGGUAGUAACUGGCCUUUAUUUGACGGUAAUUACUUAGAAAGUCACGGCUAACUACGUGCCAGCAGCCGCGGUAAUACGUAGGUGGCAAGCGUUGUCCGGAUUUAUUGGGCGUAAAGCGAGUGCAGGCGGUUCAAUAAGUCUGAUGUGAAAGCCUUCGGCUCAACCGGAGAAUUGCAUCAGAAACUGUUGAACUUGAGUGCAGAAGAGGAGAGUGGAACUCCAUGUGUAGCG